rnacentral:rRNA from 1 species
UAAGGAAUAUUGGUCAAUGGAGGCAACUCUGAACCAGCCAUGCCGCGUGCAGGAAGAAGGCCCUAUGGGUCGUAAACUGCUUUUGAACAAGAGAAAACCCCGGUACGUGUACUGGGUUGAUAGUAUUGUUAGAAUAAGCAUCGGCUAACUUCGUGCCAGCAGCCGCGGUAAGACGAAGGAUGCAAGCGUUAUCCGGAUUCAUUGGGUUUAAAGGGUGCGUAGGCGGACUGAUAAGUCAGUGGUGAAAUCUCUCGGCUUAACCGAGAAACUGCCAUUGAUACUGUUAGUCUAGAGUACAGAUGAUGUGGGCGGAAUAUGACAUGUAGUGGUGAAAUACUUAGAUAUGUCAUAGAACACCGAUUGCGAAGGCAGCUCACAAAACUGUAAACUGACGCUGAGGCACGAAAGCGUGGGGAGCAAACAGGAUUAGAUACCCAGGUAGUCCCUGAGCGGGCUGGCAAGGCGCAU